UUGGGGGGGUGCUAAUACAUGCAAGUCGAGCGAACUGAUUAGAAGCUUGCUUCUAUGACGUUAGCGGCGGACGGGUGAGUAACACGUGGGCAACCUGCCUGUAAGACUGGGAUAACUUCGGGAAACCGAAGCUAAUACCGGAUAGGAUCUUCUCCUUCAUGGGAGAUGAUUGAAAGAUGGUUUCGGCUAUCACUUACAGAUGGGCCCGCGGUGCAUUAGCUAGUUGGUGAGGUAACGGCUCACCAAGGCAACGAUGCAUAGCCGACCUGAGAGGGUGAUCGGCCACACUGGGACUGAGACACGGUCCAGCUCCUACGGGA
rnacentral:rRNA from 2 species